rnacentral:tRNA from 2 species
AAAAAGGUAAGCUAAGCAUAAGCUACUGGGUUCAUACCCCAUUUAUAAAGAUCUUCUUUUCUUUUUA